UAACACGUGGGUAACCUGCCUAUAASACUGGGAUAACAUUCGGAAACAAAUGCUAAUACCGGAUACGCKAUAUGGUCGCAUGACUGAAUCGGGAAAGAUGGAGCAAUCUAUCACUUAUAGAUGGACCCGCGGCGCAUUAGCUAGUUGGUGAGGUAACGGCUCACCAAGGCGACKAUGCGUASCCGACCUGAGAGGGUGAUCGGCCACACUGGGACUGAGACACGGCCCASACUCCUACGGGAGGCAGCAGUAGGGAAUCUUCCGCAAUGGACGAAAGUCUGACAGAGCAACGCCGCGUGAGUGAUGAAGGUUUUCAGAUCGUAAAGCUCUGUUGCCRGGGAAGAAUGCUUGGGAGAGUAACUGCUCCCAAGGUGACGGUACCUGAGAAGAAAGCCCCGGCUAACUACGUGCCAGCAGCCGCGGUAAUACGUAGGGGGCAAGCGUUGUCCGGAAUUAUUGGGCGUAAAGCGCGCGCAGGCGGCCUUGUAAGUCUGUUGUUUAAACUUGGGGCUCAACCCCAAGUCGCAGGGGAAACUGCAAAKUUUGAGUACARAAGAAGAAAGUGGAAUUCCACGUGUAGCGGUGAAAUGCGUAGAGAUGUGGA
rnacentral:rRNA from 1 species